GAUGAACGCUGGCGGCGUGCCUAAUACAUGCAAGUCGAGCGAACAGACGAGGCUCUUGCUCCUUUGACGUUAGCGGCGGACGGGUGAGUAACACGUGUAUAACCUACCUAUAAGACUGGGAUCACUUCGGGAAACCGGAGCUAAUACCGGAUAAUAUAUUGAACCGCAUGGUUCAAUAGUGAAAGACGGUUUUGCUGUCACUACUAGAUGGAUCCGCGCCGCAUUAGCUAGUUGGUAAGGUAACGGCUUACCAAGGCGACGAUGCGUAGCCGACCUGAGAGGGUGAUCGGCGACACUGGAACUGAGACAGGGUCCAGACUCCUACGGGAGGCAGCAGUAGGGAAUCUUCGGCAAUGGGCGAAAGCCUGACGGAGCGACGCCGCGUGUGUGAUGAAGGUCUUCGGAUCGUAAAGCUCUGUUAUUAGGGAAGAACAGAUGUGUAAGUAAAUAUGCACGUCUUGACGGUACCUAAUCAGAAAGCCACGGCUAACUACGUG
rnacentral:rRNA from 1 species